CGGUUUCACAAACCGAAACACGAUUGAACUCAUUUUUAUUAAGCGCACAAAAUAAGGCAUUCAUAGCCUUUGCAUUAAGAGUGAAAGUCUUCUUUUCUAACUCAUUCCAAUCGAUCAUUGGAAGAGAAGACUUCAAAAAUCCAUUUUCGAUAAGAUUCCAAAGUUCAAAAUCCAUUAAAAUAAGGAAGAUCCUCAUUCGGGUCUUCCAAUAGGUGUAGUCCGUC
rnacentral:lncRNA from 1 species